GACGAACGCUGGCGGCGUGCUUAACACAUGCAAGUCGAACGCUGAAGCCCUGGCUUUUGUUGGGUUGGAUGAGUGGCGAACGGGUGAGUAACACGUGAGUAACCUGCCCUCUUCUUUGGGAUAACGCCCGGAAACGGGUGCUAAUACUGGAUAUUCACUGAUCUUCGCAUGGGGGUUGGUGGAAAGGUUUGUUCUUGUGGGUGAUGGGCUCGCGGCCUCUCAGCUUGUUGGUUGGGUGAUGGCCUACCAAGGCUUUGACGGGUAGCCGGCCUGAGAGGGUGACCGGUCACAUGGGGACUGGGAUACGGCCCAGACGCAUGCGGGAGGCAGCAGUGGGGAAUAUUGCACGAUGGGCGAAAGCCUGAUGCAGCGACGCGGCGUGAGGGAUGGAGGCCUUCGGGUUGUAAACCUCUUUCGCUAAUGGUCAAGCCGCAACUGUGGGUUGUGGUGAGGGUAGUGGGUAAAGAAGCGCCGGCUAACUACGUG
rnacentral:rRNA from 1 species